UGUCCCCAAGGAAUCCAGGAGAGAACAUUGAAUCCUGUGAAACUCAAAACUCAAGAUACAAAUGGUUGUGGCCUGCCAUAUGGGUGCUAGGAAGUGAACCCAGGUACUUGGGGAUCAAUUUAGGUCAUCAGGUUUGGUAAAUAGCUCUCUCACCUGCUGAGCCAUCUUGCUGAUCCCACUGCUGACAUCAUCUGGUAUGCUGGAGAAGAGUAGUAGCUUAGAAGCUUACACGCUCUGCAGAACCAAGAACUUAAAUAUCUAAACUGGCAGUGGAGACAGAGAACCGAGAGGAAUCUCACUGUGUACAUUGGUAAAUCAACAAGAUUUGAGGCACCCAUGGCAUAGUUGGGGCCCCCCUCUGCAGAGCACUGAAACACUGGCUAUCUGAUAACCUG